rnacentral:lncRNA from 1 species
GGCGAGAUCCGAAACCGCGACAAUGGCCGCAAUCCAAGCUCUCGAGCCUCGCGGGUGGGGAAAAUAGUAUGCGGGGAAAUCCUCGAGCUUUAUAGGGGCGUCGGUUUGGCGAAAAAGGCAACGAAUCACGGAAUAGACGGAGUCGGUUUUCCCCCGGUGGAAUCCUGUUCGUCCACGGUACAAGGAAGGAGAAGAACAGCGCGCUGACAAGUGGGUCCAGGCGCGCAGUGAGAGAGCUGGCGGGGCCAGUUCGUCAGCCAAGGAAAGGGGGAGAAAUCAGCGCGCAGAGAGCUGGCCGCUGGGCCGCGCAGCGUGCUGGGCUCGGGCGGGGGAAUUGGGCCGGGGCGAGGAGGAAGAAUGGGCCGGUUGCGCGUUUGGGCCGAGGGGGAAAAGGGAGAAGGGAAACUGGGCGCAUUGCUGCUGGGCCUUCCAGGCCGAAACCGGAGAGAGGAAAAGGAUUUGCUCCUUCUUUUGUUUUUUUUUCUUUUAAAGCCUUUUCAAAACAAUUUAAAAAUCAGUUUGAAAAUAUUUUGACUUUCCCCUAAAUCACACAGCACAAGAGAGUAAAUGCUCCAAUAAGAAUGCACAACAAGUUGCUACAUCCUAUGAUAAAUUUUAAAUAAAUGAAAAAUAUUAUUUUCCUAUAUUUUCAUGAGCACAGAAUACAAAAUUAAAUCAUUUUUCUCCUAUUUCAAAAGUUGUAAAUUUUUGGGUGUUACAGUGAACUAAUAAUUACAGAGUCAUAUUAUGAUAUUCUUCUAGCUGAGAUCGACAUUACGUACCUUUGAAUAAUGUUUACCAUUUGUUGAUAAUUUUCUUGUGGUUUUCUCGUUGAGUCAAAGAUUAUCAACCGGUUCUUGGAAAUUUCAAUGACCAUGAGUAUCCAGUGAAAGUUGUUUACACACAUAUAUAUAUAUAUAUAGUCAGUCCUAUAUAUAACUAUAUAAAACUUGUUUCGAGUAAUAAUAAGUAAAAUAAAAUAUGCAUGCACUUAAUAACUAUAUAACUCACUCGAAGUUGAAGGGGAAGAAUAUUUUUUGUUUUUCUUUUUGGUUCACAAAGAACCUCAUAAGAUUGGUGCAGACUUCUGUCUCAUGAGAUGCUGUCCACACUGCCUUAUAAAUUCCACAUUUACUAGUAAACAUGUAUGAUUAAAGAAGAACCUAAUAAUAUCCUUUAUUUGUCUAGUUACUUCAACAAAUCUUCUAAAUUAUACAAUGGACAUUAUGUAGUAAUAAAAAUAAAUCAAGUGAUAUUAACAAACCAAUUAAUUUGAACUAUCUAAGAUCAUAAAAAGAUACUAUAAUUCAUCUUGCAAACUACAUUAAUAUUAGGUC